GGCAGCACGAUGUAGCAAUACAUUGGUGGCGACCGGCGCACGGGUGAGUAACGCGUAUGCAACCUACCUAUCAGAGGGGAAUAACCCGGCGAAAGUCGGACUAAUACCGCAUAAAACAGGGGUUCCACAUGGAAAUAUUUGUUAAAGAAUUAUCGCUGAUAGAUGGGCAUGCGUUCCAUUAGAUAGUUGGUGAGGUAACGGCUCACCAAGUCCACGAUGGAUAGGGGUUCUGAGAGGAAGGUCCCCCACACUGGUACUGAGACACGGACCAGACUCCUACGGGAGGCAGCAGUGAGGAAUAUUGGUCAAUGGGCGAGAGCCUGAACCAGCCAAGUCGCGUGAAGGAUGAAGGAUCUAUGGUUUGUAAACUUCUUUUAUAUGGGAAUAAAGUGAGGAACGUGUUCCUUUUUGUAUGUACCAUAUGAAUAAGCAUCGGCUAACUCCGUGCCAGCAGCCGCGGUAAUACGGAGGAUGCGAGCGUUAUCCGGAUUUAUUGGGUUUAAAGGGUGCGUAGGUGGUUAAUUAAGUCAGCGGUGAAAGUUUGUGGCUCAACCAUAAAAUUGCCGUUGAAACUGGUUGACUUGAGUAUAUUUGAGGUAGGCGGAAUGCGUGGUGUAGCGGUGAAAUGCAUAGAUAUCACGCAGAACUCCGAUUGCGAAGGCAGCUUACUAAACUAUAACUGACACUGAAGCACGAAAGCGUGGGGAUCAAACAGGAUUAGAUACCCUGGUAGUCCACGCAGUAAACGAUGAUUACUAGCUGUUUGCGAUACACAGUAAGCGGCACAGCG
rnacentral:rRNA from 1 species